AACCUGCCCAGGAUUUCUUCAUGCUGAAUAUUAACAUGUAGUCAAGAGUGAAUGUGUGCUUACAAAGCAGCACAGUGUACUACUAAGUUUCCCACUUGCCUUGUCUAGUUAUCCACCUUUUUUUGUUAGUAAACAGAUCAGAGAAGUAAAGGAUGGCGUUUUUAGGAACAUGAAUUGGUGGCCCCAUAUAGUUGACUUGAAAGGAUUUAGUCCAUGUAGAACAAACUCAGUUGUCCACUAGAUUUUUCAGAGGAAGAGGGUCUUCAUUUAGAAAAGGUGCAGAAUAACUUUACUGUUUUUAAAAUUCUAGUCAUAUGGAGAACUGUUUCCAGUGUGCCUUACAGUAUUAAAUUUUCACGUGGGAUAUCUGCAGUGACUGUGUUGACAAAGAUUAUCAUUGCACUUGCAUGUGGCAGACUGGAGGGUAGAAAUGUGAUUUGGGGACCAGGGAUGAAGGAGGGACUCUGUCUGUGUGAGCACGUUCUCUCCUUUGUGUCCUCUUGUGCUUACCUUUGAAUUGGUUGUUUUGCCUUUAUUUAUUUAACUUGAAGAAUAGUUUAGGCUCAGUCCAUUUAAGAGUUUGGAUAUACACCAAAAUGAUGAAAGAUGUGGAAGUGUGAAAAGAAACCUCAAGAACACAAAUGAAACAGCGUGGAUCCAGCUUUGGAGAGCAGCUAUACUGAAGCAAAGAAGGAUCCAGGAUCUGAGGAGAAGAGAGAAGGAACUGACAGAAUGAAAUGGGAAGCUCAUACCUGAUAUUUGUCUGUGGGUUAAUGCAGUUGUUCAAAAGAUGUUAAAUUGAAGGACAUUUACCCCUGUGCAGCAGUACUUUGAAUUCAGUUCCCAGAGUCGCUCAAGCAUACACCAAUGUCCAGCAUGUUGCAACCUGCUGCUUCCAAGUUCUCUCUCGUCCCUAUUCCCUCUUCUCUCAGACUUUGUGCUCGACCCUGAUGAAGGAAAAAAUAGAUUAAAGUGACCAGAUAAAUUAAGACUUCCAGUGCUAAUGUGUCUUCAGUGUUUUUUGCAAAAGGCUUAAGGAACAACCAGAGGGACACUUAGUGCCUACAA